rnacentral:RNase_P_RNA from 1 species
AUACUGGUUCAGAUGAUCGCUGGCCUUUGGCUGGAGGAAAGUCCGGACUCCCUAUGUGCUUAAGUACAUAGUCAUAGCACCAUGGCGACAUGGGUAGGCGUGAGCUUACGGAAUCGGGCAACAGAAAGCAAACCGCCCUUCGACAGGCUCAGGACAAGAGACGACUAAUUCUAGGAUCUAUUUAACUUGCUCUGAGUCUGUCGAAGAGGUAAGGAUGAAAGGGUGGUGUAAGAGACCACCGCAUUAUUUAGUAAUAAAUAAUGGCUGUGUAACCCCUGCUUGGAGCAACCCUGUAUAGGGGCAUAGAUAAAUGAUCAUCUUAAUUCAAUUAAUUUGAAGGAUACAGAAUCCGGCUUACGAACCAGUUAUUUA